UAACAACUAAACUGACUCGAAUCUGAUUCUCUAUCAGGCCUCAAAUUCAAUCCUUUCACAAACACAACUACUGUGUUCCCAUCCAAAGCUGCAGCAUAAGCCACAUUUUCCCAAGAAUUAACAGUCUGAUUACUCCCAUUUCCCCUCAACUCCCUCAAAUUCACCACAGCUGAAUAAUUAACCCGAGGUAACGGGCAUCUAACGAAAGCCCCAAAUUCAAAA
rnacentral:misc_RNA from 1 species